UACGGAGGGGGCUAGCGUUGUUCGGAAUUAUUGGGCGUAAAGGGCGCGUAGGCGGCAGGAUAAGUCUGACGUGAAAUCCCUCGGCCUAACCGAGGAACUGCGUUUGAAACUGUCCAGCUCGAGUCCGGGAGAGGGUAGUGGAAUUCCCAGUGUAGCGGUGAAAUGCGUAGAUAUUGGGAGGAACACCGGUGGCGAAGGCGGCUACCUGGACCGGUACUGACGCUGAGGCGCGAAAGCCAGGGGAGCAAACGGG
rnacentral:rRNA from 1 species